rnacentral:rRNA from 1 species
GGUCAAGCUACAAAGGGCGUAUGGUGAAUGCCUUGGCAUCAGGAGCCGAUGAAGGACGUGAUAAGCUGCGAUAAGCUUCGGGUAGGCGCAAAUAGCCUGAGAUCCGGAGAUCUCCGAAUGAGGAAACUCACAUGGGAAACCCCAUGUAUCCAUAAGUGAAUCCAUAGCUUAUGGAAGGUAAACCCAGGGAACUGAAACAUCUAAGUACCUGGAGGAAGAGAAAGAAAAAUCGAUUUUCUUAGUAGCGGCGAGCGAAAAGGAAAGAGCCCAAACCAGAAAUUUAUUUCUGGGGUUGUGGACAGAACAUUAACGUGAUGGUCAUUGUAAUUGAAGAGAACUGGAAAGUUCCACCGUAGAAGGUAAUAGUCCUGUAAGUAAAACGAUAAUAUCACAAGUUCUGAUCCAGAGUACCACGAGACACGUGAAACCUUGUGGGAAGCAGGGAGGACCACCUCCCAAGGCUAAAUACUACCUGAUGACCGAUAGUGAAGCAGUACCGUGAGGGAAAGGUGAAAAGAACCCCGGGAGGGGAGUGAAAUAGAACCUGAAACCGUAUGCCUACAACCGUUCAAAGCCCCUUAUGAGGGUGAUGAAGUGCUUUUUGUAGAACGAGCCAACGAGUUACGAUAUGUUGCGAGGUUAAGUACUUAAGGUACGGAGCCGAAGGGAAACCGAGUCUGAAUAGGGCAACUAGUAGCAUGUCGUAGACCCGAAACCGGGUGACCUAUCCAUGGCCAGGUUGAAGCGAAGGUAAAACUUCGUGGAGGACCGAACCACGUUGCUGUUGAAAAAGCAUGGGAUGAGCUGUGGAUAGCGGAGAAAUUCCAAUCGAACUCGGAUAUAGCUGGUUCUCCUCGAAAUAGCUUUAGGGCUAGCGUCGGGUAAUUAAGUACUGGAGGUAGAGCACUGAAUGGGCUAGGGGGCAUAGCGCUUANAGCUAGGACGUCAGUUUUAGUGGAGCCAACCUUGGGAUACCACCCUGAUAGUACUGGAAUUCUAACUGGAGGCCAUGAAUCUGGUCACAGGACAUUGUUAGGUGGGCAGUUUGACUGGGGCGGUCGCCUCCUAAAAAGUAACGGAGGCGCCCAAAGGUUCCCUCAGAACGGUCGGAAAUCGUUCGAAGAGUGCAAAGGCAGAAGGGAGCCUGACUGCGACACAUACAGGUGGAGCAGGGACGAAAGUCGGGCUUAGUGAUCCGGUGGUUCCUCGUGGGAGGGCCAUCGCUCAACGGAUAAAAGCUACCUCGGGGAUAACAGGCUGAUCUCCCCCAAGAGUUCACAUCGACGGGGAGGUUUGGCACCUCGAUGUCGGCUCGUCGCAUCCUGGGGCUGAAGUAGGUCCCAAGGGUUGGGCUGUUCGCCCAUUAAAGCGGCACGCGAGCUGGGUUCAGAACGUCGUGAGACAGUUCGGUCCCUAUCCGUCGCGGGCGUAGGAAAUUUGAGAGGAGCUGUCCUUAGUACGAGAGGACCGGGAUGGACUGACCUCUGGUGUACCAGUUGUUCCGCCAGGAGCACAGCUGGGUAGCUACGUCGGGAAGGGAUAAACGCUGAAAGCAUCUAAGCGUGAAGCCCCCCUCAAGAUAAGAUUUCCCAUAGAGUAAUCUAGUAAGACCCCUUGAAGACUACAAGGUUGAUAGGUCGGAGGUGUAAGCAUGGUAACAUGUUCAGCUGACCGAUACUAAUAGGUCGAGGGCUUGAUCU